GGGAAAUAAUCGGUGUGGCUGUGCAGAGUCGCGUAUGGAGUGAAUUCGUCGCUGUUUCCUCGACACUUUGUUCACAGCUCACCAAAGCUCGUGCUCAUGGAAAACGGACUCUCCCGGAUAGAAGAAUCGAACCAGCGCUAACACAACUGAGAAAAAAGCAAACAUCAUUGAGACUGGAAGAUGUCACAUAGAGUUCCAGAUGACUUGAAGGGUCUGUUUGAUGCCAGCAUAUCUGUUGAGAUAGAUGUUCUCACAUUCACAAGAUUGGUUGUAUAGGAAAUGAUCAAUAGUCUUCAUUGAAGUAUGACAUACUAUUUAGGAGAAACAAUUAUGCAAGUUUACGAGAGGUGAUUAUCCAUAUGCUGAAAUAUUGUACAUAUUUCUGUCUAUUGGAACCCAGCUUGAAGGAUGAUAAGUUUGAACAUGAACUAACAGCAUCAGUUGUUCAUCCACUAAGAAAUGUUGGUCUUUGUGUUCAUGUUGAAGCAGCUAUGCAAGACGAUGUGAUCAUAAACUGGCCGAGACCUGUAGUUAGCGCAAAGGCUAGAAUAUCUUGAGCUACUUUCUGUGAAUAAAUUGCUUUGCAGGUGUGCAUCAAUACUUAAUUGUAAGGGGAGACAUGUAAUUGUUGAAACUCUCAAUGAUAUUGAAAUAGAUCUGUAAUUAUAGAGACCACGCUGCAUGUGAUCUUAAUUGAUACAAAUAUAACUAGA